rnacentral:rRNA from 1 species
GGCGGGCGGGUGAGUAAUGUCUGGGAAACUGCCUGAUGGAGGGGGAUAACUACUGGAAACGGUAGCUAAUACCGCAUAACGUCGCAAGACCAAAGAGGGGGGACCUUCGGGCCUCUUGCCAUCGGAUGUGCCCAGAUGGGAUUAGCUAGUAGGUGGGGUAACGGCUCACCUAGGCGACAAUCCCUAGCUGGUCUGAGAGGAUGACCAGCCACACUGGAACUGAGACACGGUCCAGACUCCUACGGGAGGCAGCAUG